CUGCUACGAAGAAAACCACAAUGCACUGCGCAGCAAUGGGUAACCCCCAAGUAUAGAAUUCCCAAGCGUCUGAGGUUAAGAGCCAGGUUGCCAUAAAAGACUCCACUGAUUAUUACAGCGUAAAAUUUACAGUGUAAAAUUAUAGUAGGCUACUAGCGUAAGUCUGAUUAUUAUAACAUAGUUUAGAUUAUUAUGAUAUAAA